rnacentral:rRNA from 1 species
GACGAACCGUCCAAACGUUAUUCGGAAUCACUGGGCUUACAGAGUUCGUAGGCGGUCUGGAAAGUUGGGUGUGAAAUCCCUCGGCUCAACCGAGGAACUGCGCUCAAAACUACCCGACUCGAGGGAGAUAGAGGAAAGCGGAACUGAUGGUGGAGCGGUGAAAUGCGUUGAUAUCAUCAGGAACACCGGUGGCGAAGGCGGCUUUCUGGGUCCUACCUGACGCUGAGGAACGAAAGCUAGGGGAGCGAACGGG